GACGAACGCUGGCGGCGUGCUUAACACAUGCAAGUCGAACGGAAAGGCCCUGCUUUUGUUGGGUGCUCGAGUGGCGAACGGGUGAGUAACACGUGAGUAACCUGCCCUUGACUUUGGGAUAACUUCAGGAAACUGGGGCUAAUACCGGAUAGGAGCUCCUGCUGCAUGGUGGGGGUUGGAAAGUUUCGGCGGUUGGGGCUGGACUCGCGGCUUAUCAGCUUGUUGGUGGGGUAGUGGCUUACCAAGGCUUUGACGGGUAGCCGGCCUGAGAGGGUGACCGGCCACAUUAGGACUGAGAUACGGCCCAGACUCCUACGGGAGGCAGCAGUGGGGAAUAUUGCACAAUGGGCGGAAGCCUGAUGCAGCAACGCCGCGUGCGGGAUGACGGCCUUCGGGUUGUAAACCGCUUUCGCCUGUGACGAAGCGUGAGUGACGGUAAUGGGUAAAGAAGCACCGGCUAACUACGUG
rnacentral:rRNA from 1 species